UAUUUUCCUUUUUUUCCCGCCGCCGCGGUAAUACGUAUGGUGCAAGCGUUAUCCGGAUUUACUGGGUGUAAAGGGAGCGCAGGCGGUGCGGCAAGUCUGAUGUGAAAGCCCGGGGCUCAACCCCGGUACUGCAUUGGAAACUGUCGUACUAGAGUGUCGGAGGGGUAAGCGGAAUUCCUAGUGUAGCGGUGAAAUGCGUAGAUAUUAGGAGGAACACCAGUGGCGAAGGCGGCUUACUGGACGAUAACUGACGCUGAGGCUCGAAAGCGUGGGGAGCAAACAGG
rnacentral:rRNA from 1 species